UACGGAGGGUGCGAGCGUUGUCCGGAAUCACUGGGCGUAAAGGGCGCGUAGGUGGCGCGGGCAGUCAACGGUGAAAGUUCGGGGCUCAACCCUGAAUCGGCCGUCGAUACUCCCGGGCUUGAGCACUGUAGAGGCAGAUGGAAUUCCGGGUGUAGCGGUGGAAUGCGUAGAGAUCCGGAAGAACACCUGUGGCGAAAGCGGCUCACUGGACCAUAACUGACGCUGAUGCACGAAAGCUAGGGGAGCAAACAGG
rnacentral:rRNA from 1 species